rnacentral:other from 1 species
CGUCGCCUGCGGUGUUCGACAAGCGGAUCGGGUUACCUCGGACCCUAAUUGAAACACCCCGGGACACACGGCUUGCGCGCAGCGUGUGCAUGUCCGCCUUCGAGCGGGAAGCCUUAUCUGCAGCAGCCCGUCCCACUUGUUGCUCUGGUUCGAGAGCAACGGUUCGCACCGGCACAGGCGGGUGACGC